rnacentral:rRNA from 1 species
UGCGCAGGCGGUUUCUUAAGUCUGAUGUGAAAGCCUUCGGCUCAACCGAAGAAGUGCAUCGGAAACUGGGAAACUUGAGUGCAGAAGAGGACAGUGGAACUCCAUGUGUAGCGGUGAAAUGCGUAGAUAUAUGGAAGAACACCAGUGGCGAAGGCGGCUGUCUGGUCUGUAACUGACGCUGAGGCUCGAAAGCAUGGGGAGCAAACA